UACAGAGGUCUCAGCCGUUGUUCGGAUUCAUUGGGCGUAAAGGGUGCGUAGGCGGCGGGGUAAGUCAGGUGUGAAAUCUCGGGGCUCAACCCCGAAACUGCACUUGAUACUGCCUCGCUUGAGUACUGGAGAGGAGACUGGAAUUUACGGUGUAGCAGUGAAAUGCGUAGAUAUCGUAAGGAAGACCAGUGGCGAAGGCGAGUCUCUGGACAGUUACUGACGCUGAGGCACGAAGGCCAGGGGAGCAAACGGG
rnacentral:rRNA from 1 species